AUUGAACGCUGGCGGCAUGCCUUACACAUGCAAGUCGAACGGCAGCACGGGUGCUUGCACCUGGUGGCGAGUGGCGAACGGGUGAGUAAUACAUCGGAACAUGUCCUGUAGUGGGGGAUAGCCCGGCGAAAGCCGGAUUAAUACCGCAUACGAUCUACGGAUGAAAGCGGGGGACCUUCGGGCCUCGCGCUAUAGGGUUGGCCGAUGGCUGAUUAGCUAGUUGGUGGGGUAAAGGCCUACCAAGGCGACGAUCAGUAGCUGGUCUGAGAGGACGACCAGCCACACUGGGACUGAGACACGGCCCAGACUCCUACGGGAGGCAGCAGUGGGGAAUUUUGGACAAUGGGCGAAAGCCUGAUCCAGCAAUGCCGCGUGUGUGAAGAAGGCGUUCGGGUUGUAAAGCACUUUUGUCCGGAAAGAAAUCCUUGGCCCUAAUACGGUCGGGGGAUGACGGUACCGGAAGAAUAAGCACCGGCUAACUACGUG
rnacentral:rRNA from 1 species